UACAGAGGUCGCAAGCGUUGUUCGGAUUCAUUGGGCGUAAAGGGUGCGUAGGCGGCGCGGUAAGUCGGGUGUGAAAUCUUGGAGCUUAACUCCGAAACUGCAUUCGAUACUGCCGUGCUUGAGGACUGGAGAGGAGACUGGAAUUUACGGUGUAGCGGUGAAAUGCGUAGAUAUCGUAAGGAAGACCAGUGGCGAAGGCGGCGUGCUGGGUUGCAACUGACGCUGAGAUGCGAAAGUGUGGGGAGCAAACGGG
rnacentral:rRNA from 1 species